UAGUUAAAAGUGAAGAAAUGGAGAUGGGCAGGAUGGUGACAAAGGGGAGAAGGAAGUAAAUAAGGGAUCGAGAGAUGAGUUGGGAAGGAUCACUCUCUGUUUCUCAACCUUUCACUGAGAGAGGGAGAAGAGGAAGAAAGAGAGGUGGGUUCUUCUCAACCUGGCCCUGGAGAAGAAGUAAGAACAAAAGGGAAGGAGAGAAAGGGGAGAAGAGGAGGUCAGAGGGGAGAGGAGGAGGAAGAGAGGCCAGAGGUGACCAUUCUUGACAUGGUCAGGAAAGGAGUCAGGGUGAAGUCCCAGCUGUGUUUCCCUCCUUCUCCCCAACCCAAGAGAGGCGAGUGAGGCUUCCUCUCAAUCUAGUGCUGGAGAAGAAGUAAGAACAAAAGGGGAAAAGAGGAGGAGGAGGAGGGCAAAGGGGAGAGGAGGACGAGGAGGAAGAGGAAGAGGAGAGGUGACCAACCAUUCUUGACAUGGCAACUGGAUCUCAGGAGGAGGAAGAAGGAGGCAACCCAGGCGAGGAGUUGCUGGAGCUGUCAAACCCCGAAGAGGGAAAGUGUUGUGUCGUCAUCCUUCUUGAGGAGAAGAAAGAGAAGGGCUGAAUGAGAUUUCUGCAGCAGCCAAGGCUUGGAUCAGCUGGUGACGGGAGCGUGUCCUCUGCAGCUUCCUUCUUCUUUCUCACCAACACCUCCAGCCUGUUAUUACCUUUAAAAAUGGGACAUUGGCAUCAUGGUCUCCCAUAAAUCUUAACUCUUCGUACGGUAAUUGGUUUAUAGGAGCCACGGUGGCGCAAUGGGUUAAACCCUUGCGCUGGCUGAACUGCUGACCUGAAGAUUGGUGGUUCGAAUCCGCAAGAGAGGAUGAGCUCCCAUCUGUCAGCCCUAGCUUCCCAUGCAGGGACAUGAGAGAAGCCCCCUGCAGGAUGGUAACACAUCUUUGAAGAUGGCUGAUUCUCUCACACCAGAAGUGACUUGCCUUAAUUCGCUUCUGACACAAUAAAAAAGUAAACAGUU